rnacentral:tRNA from 2 species
GCCGUCGUAGCUUAGCCCGGGAGAGCGCCGGACUGAAGAUCCGGUUGUCGCUGGUUCAAAUCCGGCCGACGGCACCA